rnacentral:misc_RNA from 1 species
AUUGGGUCGAACAAUUGCCUUUAGAGUCUUGUUUUGCAAGUCGAUUACGCAGUUGAGGCAUCGAUUGUUUCAUUUCUUGAUGUAUUACUUGUACAAGUUUAAGAGUGGAAUUUCGUACUAUGUGACACCUUUGAUUUCGUGGUUGCACCCUCGCAAUCCACAAGGGAUAUUGGCAUUAGUAACGCUUCUCGCCUUCUUGUUGAGGCGGUAUACUAAUGUAAAAGUUAAGGCUGAGAUGGCUUAUAGGAGGAAGUUUUGGAGGAAUAUGAUGAGAUCUGCCUUGACUUAUGAGGAGUGGGCUCAUGCUGCUAAGAUGUUGGAUAAAGAGACACCUAAAUUGAAUGAGGCAGAUCUUUAUGAUGAAGAAUUAGUUCGAAAUAAACUUCAAGAGCUUCGACAUCGUAGGCAAGAGGGUUCUCUGAGAGAUAUCAUUUUCUGUAUGAGAGCUGACCUUGUAAGGAAUCUUGGUAAUAUGUGCAAUUCAGAACUUCACAAGGGAAGGCUUCAUGUGCCUAGACUUAUUAAGGAAUAUAUUGAUGAGGUUUCAACUCAGUUGAAAAUGGUAUGCGACUCUGAUUCAGAGGAGCUUCUGUUGGAAGAGAAGCUUGCUUUCAUGCAUGAAACAAGACAUGCCUUUGGUAG